rnacentral:lncRNA from 1 species
AAAGAUCUACAACUUUCAUGUUCACCAGAAAUCCAUUUUAAGCUCCUUUGAUGUUGGAAAAUCAAGUUGAAUGUGGACCCAAAACUUGCCAUUUUUGGAAACUUUGAAUUACAGGUCAUUUUCCAUUUUUGGAAACUUUUGCCAUGACUUCAAAAUCUUGAAGAUAUAUGUUUGAAAUGAUGAAUAGGCCUCUUUUGAACAUGAUUGAGAUGCUUCAAAUCAUU